CACAAGCCAUGAAGACAUGGGGAUCCGGA
rnacentral:piRNA from 1 species